rnacentral:rRNA from 1 species
UACGUAGGGUGCAAGCGUUAAUCGGAAUUACUGGGCGUAAAGCGUGCGCAGGCGGUUGUGCAAGACCGAUGUGAAAUCCCCGGGCUUAACCUGGGAAUGGCAUUGGUGACUGCACGGCUAGAGUGUGUCAGAGGGGGGUAGAAUUCCACGUGUAGCAGUGAAAUGCGUAGAGAUGUGGAGGAAUACCGAUGGCGAAGGCAGCCCCCUGGGAUAACACUGA